ensembl:lncRNA
AUGACUGAUAUUGGUCGUGAAUCAGAAGCAUUGAAUUACCAGAUUGCCGUUGUAUCUCCAAAACGACCAAAUGAAGAUAUAAGCCCUAACCCAAAGAAAAAGAAAAGAAAGAAAAAGAAGAAAAAAGCAAGUGUUGCAGGAGGCCCUUCGUCUCUGACCUCUGAUCUCUCUGAUAUAUCUUUGAAUGAUAAAGAGAAGAAAAUAGAGGAAGACCAAUCUUUUGAGAGUGAUGGCUCUUACUGCACUGUAGAUGACAUGCCUAAACCAGCUGAAUCGUCCUCUCAUCUGAGCCCACCAGAGAAUGAAUCCACUGGGGCAACACAACUCAACACAACUUUACCCCAUGCUGGUGUAGAUCAGUCUGUUGAACAGUCAAAUAGUAGCAAGGAGAGUUGUGUAGCACCUGAAAUGUUAAAAUCAUCUAAGUUAAAUUUGAUCCAAGAGUCAAUCAGCACUAGUACUGCCAAUGAUUCUCCAGCAGUGUCAGUGGGAGCAGAUCAGACAGCUGAAAAAAACAAAACUAAACCUAAGAAUAAGGGUCAAAAGAGCAUGUCCACAAGAGCACAGACAACUCUAGAUCAGAGUGCUAAUAUGGGAAAGAAUGCAAACCUAAAAAGCAGCACAGGCAAUCAAAAGGAAACAGAUCCUCGGGGCAUGGAACCACUGAAGAAUUACAGUUCCAGUGGAGAUUCAGUGAUGAAGGUUGAACACAGUGAGAAGCAGCAGUCUGCUCAUGCUAACCAGAUGAAUCCAGAAUUCAAAAAAGUCAAUGAAAGCGGCAUUACAGAAACCAAUAAGGACAACCAAAAAAAAGAAAUCAGAAUGAGGAACCACAGAAAUCAUCACAGGACAUGGUAUUUGGCCCACAAAGUAAAUUAAAGGUAUAAUUUAUAUAAACCCAAAUGCUGGUUGAUAUAUUAGGAAAACGGUCUGUGAACAUUUUUUUUUUUUUGAUAUUGAAAACAGAAACA